rnacentral:rRNA from 1 species
UGCAAGUCGAGCGGANCUUGGUUGGUUGCCUAGGGAACUCUUCGGACAGAUUCAAARCUGACCGCUGCUUANCGGCGGACGGGURAGUAACGCGUGGGCAAUCUGCCUUUUGGUGGGGAAUAACCGUGAGAAAUCACGGCUAAUACCGCRUGAAACAUCUGAUUGCAUGAUCGGAUGUUGAAAGAUUGAUCGCCACAAGAUGAGCCCGCGUCUGAUUAGCUAGUUGGUAGGGUAACGGCCUACCAAGGCGACGAUCAGUAGCCGGCCUGANAGGGUGAACGGCCACAUUGGGACUGAGACACGGCCCAAACUCCUACGGGAGGCAGCAGUGGGGAAUAUUGCACAAUGGGGGAAACCCUGAUGCAGCRACGCCGCGUGAAGGAUGAAGGGUUUCGGCUCGUAAACUUCUAUCGUGUGGGAAGAAAAAWAUGACGGUACCACAGUAAGUAGCCCCGGCUAACUACGUKCCAGCAGCCGCGGUAAUACGUAGGGGGCAAGCGUUAUCCGGAAUUACUGGGUGUAAAGGGUGAGUAGGCGGUUAUMUAAGCCAUAUGUGAAAGCUACGGGCUUAACCCGUAAAUUGCAUAAGGAACUGGAAGANUAGAGUGCAGGAGAGGUAAGCGGAAUUCCUAGUGUAGCGGUGAAAUGCGUAGAUAUUAGGAGGAACACCAGUGKCGAAGGCGGYUUACUGGACUGAAACUGACGCUGAGGCACGAAAGCGUGGGGAGCGAACAGGAUUAGAUACCCUGGUAGUCCACGCUSUACACGAUGAKUGCUAGGUGUCGGGGGGAGACCCUCGGUGCCGCAGCUAACGCAAUAAGCAUCCACCUGGCGAGUACGGCCGCAAUGK